rnacentral:misc_RNA from 1 species
AACGCACAUUGCGCCCCUUGGUAUUCCGGGGGGCAUGCCUGUUCGAGCGUCAUUUCAACCCUCAAGCUCUGCUUGGUCUUGGGCACUGCCGGUAACGGCUUGCCUUAAAACUAGUGGCGGUGCCAUUCGAGCUCUACGCGUAGUAAUUAAACCCUCGCGAUUGAGUCUUGGUGGAUGCUUGCCAGCAACCCUCAUUUUUUUAUGGUUGACCUCGGAUCAGGUAGGGAUACCCGCUGAACUUAA